GGCUCAGGAUAAACGCUGGCGGCGCACAUAAGACAUGCAAGUCGAACGAACUUAACUCAUUCUUUACGAUUGAGAGCGGUUAGUGGCGGACUGGUGAGUAACACGUAAGCAACCUGCCUAUUAGAGGGGAAUAACAGUGAGAAAUCAUUGCUAAUACCGCAUAUGCUCACAGCAACACAUGUUGCAGUGAGGAAAGGAGUAAUCCGCUAAUAGAUGGGCUUGCGUCUGAUUAGCUAGUUGGUGGGGUAACGGCCUACCAAGGCGACGAUCAGUAGCCGGACUGAGAGGUUGAACGGCCACAUUGGGACUGAGAUACGGCCCAGACUCCUACGGGAGGCAGCAGUCGGGAAUAUUGCGCAAUGGAGGAAACUCUGACGCAGUGACGCCGCGUAUAGGAAGAAGGUUUUCGGAUUGUAAACUAUUGUCAUUAGGGAAGAUAAAAGACUGUACCUAAGGAGGAAGCCCCGGCUAACUAUGUG
rnacentral:rRNA from 1 species